CCUACGGGAGGCAGCAGUAAGGAAUAUUGGUCAAUGGACGCAAGUCUGAACCAGCCAUGCCGCGUGAAGGAUGAAGGUCCUCUGGAUUGUAAACUUCUUUUAUAGGGGACGAAAAAAGAGAAUUCUUUCUCACUUGACGGUACCCUAGGAAUAAGCACCGGCUAACUCCGUGCCAGCAGCCGCGGUAAUACGGAGGGUGCAAGCGUUAUCCGGAUUUACUGGGUUUAAAGGGUGCGUAGGUGGGUCUGUAAGUCAGUGGUGAAAUCUCCGGGCUUAACCCGGAAACUGCCAUUGAUACUAUAGAUCUUGAAUACUCUGGAGGUAAGCGGAAUAUGUCAUGUAGCGGUGAAAUGCUUAGAUAUGACAUAGAACACCAAUUGCGAAGGCAGCUUACUACGGGGUUAUUGACACUGAGGCACGAAAGCGUGGGGAUCAAACAGGAUUAGAUACCCUGGUAGUCCACGCCCUAAACGAUGGAUACUCGACAUCAGCGAUACACUGUUGGUGUCUGAGCGAAAGCAUUAAGUAUCCCACCUGGGAAGUACGAUCGCAAGAUUGAAACUCAAAUGAGUAGAGCGNGAGAGNGCGAGACGACACGAGGAGGAGG
rnacentral:rRNA from 1 species